UGAGGUAGUAGAUUGUAUAGUUGUAGGGUAGCUGUUUUGCCCUGUUCAGGAGAUAACUAUACAAUCUAUUGCCUUCC
rnacentral:pre_miRNA from 1 species